rnacentral:snoRNA from 1 species
AACUCAUGGUGAGGACAUGAAUAAAUCAUCUCCUUAAACCACUCCCAAGCUUCUGCAAGUGUCUCAUCAUUCUCUUGCUCAAAUGAGGAGAUCUUCCUCCUUAUGUC